rnacentral:misc_RNA from 1 species
UUAAUUUCUUUUAUAAUAUACCCAGAUACACGCCUGGAGCUAGAGCUUUGGGUCCUACGGCGGAGUCGCUUAAGGGCAUAACCCCGCCGAGGCAACGUUUAGGUAGGUUCACAGGGGGUUUGAGCCAGGGGCACUCGGUAAUGAUCCCUCCGCUGGUUCACCAACGGAGA